rnacentral:lncRNA from 1 species
CCUGCAGGUGGUACAGCAGAGGACCCUGGGUCUGAACCUGAUCUGUUUCCCCCCGGUGAGGGUAAUGGGGAUUUUCCUCCUCCUCCUCCUCCACCCUCUCCUCUGCCUUCCUUGCCUCUGCCCCCGCCUCUCCCUAAAGAGGUUUGUGCACCUGGGGCUGCUAAGUUAAUUGGCCGCAUAAAUUGGGCUGAUAUAGCUAGAGAGGCAGCAGAAGGCGGCAACAUGGAUGUUGCCGAGGUUAUUGGGCAGGCAUUCCCUAUUCGUUUCGAGCCUGAUGGCAACGGUGCAGUGCAGGGUGUGCACGUUCCGAUGUCAUGGAAAACGUUGAUGCAGAUGCGAACCGCUGUUACUGAAAAUGGCUUGCAUAGUGAACCUGCAAGGCAGUUUUUGACUUAUAUUUGGUCCAGUAGCAUAUUGGUCCCUGAAGAUAUUAAAACAAUUAUGCGCCUGAUUAUGACACCUUCAGAGCAACUAGUGUGGCAGUCGCACUGGCGGCGCCUGUGUGAAGUGAGUGCCAAUACCCCUCGAGUUCAGGGCGACCCUUUGUUUGGGGUUAUUGUAGAACAGUUAACUGGUACUAUGCAGUUUACCCGCCCUGAGAUGCAGGUUCAAAUGGGACCUGCGAUUUGUGCCGAGAGUAUGCGGUUGGCACAAGAGGCAUAUGGGAUGGUUAGGUCAGCAAAACCUGUCCCGUCUUAUUUGUCCAUACGUCAGGGUCGGGACGAAACCUUUUCCAGUUUUGUGGACAGACUGUCAGAGGCUAUGGCUCAGGCUGAUGUCCCUGAGUGGCUGAAGGGGAACAUAUUGCGGCAAUGUGUCUUAGACAAUUGUACACCGGCCGCGAAGGCAAUUCUAGCUACCUUGCCGCUGAAUGCUUCCCUAGAGGAUAUGGUUGAACGGAUGACCCGUGUUCCUACCUCGGCACAAGCUAUGCUCGCUUCUGCGAUUCAGGACCUGGGAGAAAAGUUGGGAGACAAAUUGGGAGACAAAUUAGCAGCAUCCCAGGAGAGGGCUUUUGCGGCAUUUCGACCGCUAGUACAGUUGUCAGGAGAAACCACGGGAGGAGGUGGAGUAAGGGGUCCAUGCUUUCGCUGUGGGAAACCGGGCCAUUUCAGGCAGGAUUGCAGGGCUCGGGUUUGGUGCCAGAAGUGUAAAAUGUAUAACCACAGUACCCUGGUUUGCCGGGGAAACGGGAAGCCGAGCGCGAAUCGCCGCCGCGCUAUGACAAAAAUAGCAGCAGCAAACUCCACGGUGGGAGCGGCACAACAGAGCUGUCCCCAGCAACAGCAGGGAGUCUCGGAUUGGAUUUGGCAACCGCAGUAGAUGUUACCUUACUUGAUGAUCGCCCCCGAAAAGUUCCGUCUACUGCAACUGCUCCUAUCCUUAUUCAAGGACGGGCAGUGGGGGCUUUAUUAAUUGGGCGAUCAUCUGCAAGUUUGCACGGGUUAAUGAUUCUUCCUGGGUUAAUAGAUAAAGAUUUUACNNNNNNNNNNNNNNNNNNNNNNNNNNNNNNNNNNNNNNNNNNN